GGUGAACCUGCGGAGGGAUCAUUA
rnacentral:ncRNA from 60 species